UCCGGUUUGUCACCGGCAGUCCCAUUAGAGUGCCCAACUUAAUGUGGCAACUAAUGACAAGGGUUGCGCUCGUUGCGGGACUUAACCCAACACCUCACGGCACGAGCUGACGACAGCCAUGCACCACCUGUGAAGGUGCCCCGAAGGGAGACCGUGUUUCCACGGCUGUCACCCACAUGUCAAGCCCAGGUAAGGUUCUUCGCGUUGCGUCGAAUUAAACCACAUGCUCCACCGCUUGUGCAGACCCCCGUCAAUUUCUUUGAGUUUUAACCUUGCGGCCGUACUCCCCAGGCGGAUGACUUAACGCGUUAGCUGCGCCACCGAAACUCCAUGGGCCCCGACAGCUAGUCAUCAUCGUUUACGGCGUGGACUAC
rnacentral:misc_RNA from 1 species